rnacentral:rRNA from 1 species
AUUGAACGCUGGCGGCAUGCCUUACACAUGCAAGUCGAACGGCAGCACGGGUGCUUGCACCUGGUGGCGAGUGGCGAACGGGUGAGUAAUACAUCGGAACAUGUCCUGUAGUGGGGGAUAGCCCGGCGAAAGCCGGAUUAAUACCGCAUACGAUCUACGGAUGAAAGCGGGGGACCUUCGGGCCUCGCGCUAUAGGGUUGGCCGAUGGCUGAUUAGCUAGUUGGUGGGGUAAAGGCCUACCAAGGCGACGAUCAGUAGCUGGUCUGAGAGGACGACCAGCCACACUGGGACUGAGACACGGCCCAGACUCCUACGGGAGGCAGCAGUGGGGAAUUCUGGACAAUGGGCGAAAGCCUGAUCCAGCAAUGCCGCGUGUGUGAAGAAGGCCUUCGGGUUGUAAAGCACUUUUGUCCGGAAAGAAAUCCUUGGCCCUAAUACGGUCGGGGGAUGACGGUACCGGAAGAAUAAGCACCGGCUAACUACGUG